AAUUGGACAAACUGAGGCCGGGAUACGGACCUACGGACCAAAGAAUUAGUAAUGGGUCCUCCUUUCCCUGGUGGCUACAAUGGACAUAUCGAACCGUCAUCGGCGUGUUGGAGGAUCUGAUUACUGCGCUAUACUACCAAGAAUGAUCAUAAACGAAGAAACAGCUACACAAGAGCUGUGCAUAACCGUUUGCAAUUUGUAAGUGACAGACCAGAGAGAAGGCAGCUAGUCAACAGCACCCACCUCCAACUUAUGGGCUCCAACCGUCUCAAUGAAUAAUGGGAUUUGGCCGUCACUCUUAUAACGCACUCACAGCCAAAAGUAUGGAGUACAUUUCGAUGGCAAGAAGUUGAAAACAACAAAGUCUUGGAUUCACAAUUUGGAGAAAUAUUAUUAACAUGUGGUGGGAAAGUACCAACUGAAGUAUUGUGCUCUUAAAAUUACCACUAAAUAGAAAAAAAAUAGAGAGGGAGACUUUUCCAGCAGUGGCUGUCGAGUCUGAGGGGGUGAUCAAAAGAAGCAACGUUAAAGUACGGUGAUGGGUGAACCAAAUAGCAUGAAAAAGCGUUAUCAACAUGAAGUCAUUUACAGUUGAUUACUCGGGAUAAAAUAUUUGAACAGUGUUGCAGAGAAACUGAAAAGAAAGAAAAUAAGAUAUGGUGAACUUUUCCAUUUCCUAGAAACAAGUUUACUCAAUGAGAUCUCCAAAGUUUUAUGUAGGAAACUUAUCUAACAUAAUCAAAUUUUAUGUUUUACUCGCAUAAACAAUUUUGCAAUGUAAAAAUC